CCACGCGCCUGCGCAGUGGGUGUAUUCACAAAAGAGGAACGUAGUCGACACAAACAUGUUAGCUAGCCUACCUAGCUAGCUGGAUCUAGCCUCUUAUCGUCGACUAACGCUCACUUUGUAUUUGUUUGUCACUGCAAUGGUCAAACAAUCAGUUUGAGGGAUUUGAGCACUUGGGUCAAUGCUAUUUGCAACAAAAUAGUAUUCAGCUGAUUUUUUGUUAUGAUGCCUGCACGCCUCAAUGUGUCCGUCGGUGGGUUACCCAGCAACAAAGUCAAGUACUCCAGAUUGGCCGACAGUGAGGAUGGCUACAUUGACUUGCAGUUUAAGAAAAGCCCUCCGAAAGUACCAUACAAGGCCAUCGCCCUGGCAACGUUUCUCUUCCUGAUUGGCUCCUUCCUGAUCAUAAUUGGCUCUCUACUUUUGUCCGGGUCUAUAAAAGUUGAGUACCCGGACCGCACGAUCCCUGUUCUGAUAAUCGGAGUUCUCGUCUUCCUGCCUGGGUUCUAUCACCUGCGAAUCGCGUACUACGCCUCCAAGGGUUACCGAGGUUACUCCUAUGAUGACAUCCCGGAUUUUGACGACUGAGCCAAUCAUAAGUCGGUAUGGGUCAGAUCGCCGGCCAAUCAAACGGUCGCCGGGCGGGUCGAUUCGCUCCGUUGCAUGAGACUGUCCUCUGCUGUUUACAGUCAAUGUUUCCUGGUGUGGGAAACUGCAUCACAAAGUGGCUUAACUUGACUAGCUCAUGGUUUUAAUGCCAAGUCAAAACAUGGAACCCUAUCUUUGGCUUUAAUGGUGCAUUAUACAGCCCUAUGCUGAUAUUUUCUUUAUUUUCAUGAAAGUAACUGAAAAAUGCCUGCUGUAUCUUGCUGCUACUUUACAUUUUUACCUCAUCAUAAUUAUCCACAAGUGUCAUGAAUAUGAUUAACUCAUAUGGUGGUUACAAGCUUCAAGGAGCUAUAGUAUAGGCUAAGGAAGAGUUAUACUAAUUAAAUGUUAGUAUAAUAUGACAUUGUGCAAUCUAUUUAUGUUAUGACAUUGCAGUAUGCAACGCCUUUCAAGUGUACACUAAAAACAGAAGAUGGUUUGCACUCACUUUAUCGGCUUCAUGCAAACCAAGUGUUGGGUUUGGUUUUGCUUUAGAACAGGGGUGUCGAGCUCCGGUCCUCGAGGGCCGCUGUCCUGCAUGUUUUAGAUGUUGGAGCUCGACACCCCUGCUUUAGAAUAACUAUUUGGUUCAGUCGAGAGUACUACAUCAUACUCCAGAUUUUGAACACAGCAUUCAUUAGAAUGCACACUCAAUCAAUAGUAUUUUGAGACGGACAAAAUAUAUGUCCAAGUACGUCCCCUUGUGGUUUCAACGGGGAACGAAAAUCCUCAAAAACGGCCCUCAUCAAAGAUCAAGAUAUUUCUUGAGGACAGCCCAAAGUGAUUGAGAGUAAGUCAAAAUGUUGACCCUGGUCAAUGAUUUAGGAACCAACAACAUUUCACACAGAAGUAUGGAAAUAUGAUGGUGGAGGACAGAGGAAUAGAGAGAGAUGAUUGGUCACCCAGGAGUGGAAUUGAGAGGGGUGAGGUGCGCGAGCAGGAAGCCUCGAGGCAUCAAGUGCGUCGCGAGUGGUUUUGUUACAACCGUGAAGGAAAUCAACGAAUCCUAAUGGAGUAACUUGUUGAUUCAAAGAGAAACUACAUAGACGUCAAACUACAAAAGGGCUUCAAUUUACCAUUCACACUCAUUCGAAACUUUUUUUUAAAGCGAGUGGUCAGAUAAAAAAAACACAAAACGACACGACAGCCUGAUAUUGGAUAUUGCAACGGGAGUCUCGCCGUUCAACUUGCAGAGUGGAUGCUCUUUAAAUGGACGGACCUCCAACUCUUGUUUUCUGAAGUGUAAACA